UUCCGAAAGCACACUACGAUUUCUGAGUUGGCUCGGCAGGCGUUUGGACCACUCUACGAUUUCAGGAGAGGCCCUUCAAAGCAGACACACUACGAUUCUCGAUGCUCUACGAUUCUGCCUUAGGUUCUGCAAUCUCUUGAUCAGAUUGAUAGACUACGAUUCUGUUGAAGCCUAUCUAUUACAUCUCAAGAUAUAGAUCAACCUAACAACUUUG
rnacentral:lncRNA from 1 species